rnacentral:tRNA from 1 species
CCGUGGUCCUGGCCGGGCUCAGGGCGGUGGGCGCCAGCCCCGCGCAGGCGGCGUCCGGACUGCUGGCACUGACCGUUGCCGUGGGCCUUGGG